CACUAUUAUUCUGAAAAAAGGAAGGAUGCCCGGAAGUGAAUACCUCUAAUGAAUGAUUGAUUGAAAUGAGAAAGUGGAAUACCAUGUGGAUACGAUUACGAAGACCGUUGAAGAAGGUUUAUAACUGCUUUAAACCACUUAAAUACGGAUUUAUUGGACACAAGUGGUUGUGCACGUCUCCGUGUGUGGCUGAAUGCGUCCCAGCCUUACCUACAGCUAGCAGGCUCACGGUGGAGCAAGCUGUCAAGUUAUGGACAGGCCAUUUCCAGCAAAGAGGUGUCUCAGAGCCACAUCUCUCCAGCCAGUACAUCAUUGCACAUUUGCUUGGUGCUAAAACAUUAGAGGGCAUUGGACAGGACAGGCUGGCUGAAUUCCUGACACAAGAACAGACAGAGCAGACAUGGGAGCUCUGUUCCAGACGUCUCACCAGAAUGCCAGUGCAGUAUGUGAUUGAAGAGUGGGACUUCAGAGAUCUGACACUGAAGAUGAGACCUCCCGUGUUUAUCCCCCGCCCUGAAACUGAGGAGCUGGUUGGCCUAGUGCUUACAGAUCUCCAGAUGAAGCAGGGGACUGGAUUAAGUGAGGAGACCAGCUUCAGGUGCCUGGAAGUGGGUUGUGGCUCUGGUGCUAUCUCCCUCAGUUUACUUAAGAGCCUCCCACAGCUCAGAGCGAUUGCUUUAGAUAAAAACAAGGAUGCUGUGGAUCUGACAAGAGAGAACUCGCACAGUUUGGGGUUCCAGGACCGACUUGAGGUUCACCAUAUGGAUGUGAUGAGAGAUGCAGACAUAAUUGUGAGCAUGUGCAGUCCAGUCUCCGUUUUGGUCAGCAACCCUCCGUACCUGUUCUCAGAGGAUAUGAUAUCACUUGAACCUGAAAUCCUCAGGUUUGAGGACCAUGCUGCUCUGGAUGGGGGGAAAGAUGGCAUGCAGGUGAUGAGACACAUUCUGACUCUGGCUCCAAAGCUCUUAUCCAACCAUGGGUAAGGCACUGGGUGUAUUUUCUGCAUCUAGAAAAUAACAUAUAAUCACACGCUUGAAAUGGGUCAAUAUGAAUGUAUCAUUGCAAUCUAUAAUUUCCCUCCCCCCGUUGUUCCUAGUGACCUUACCGCUCAUCAUAUCCAUAUGGUGAAACUCAAGUCAGUUCUGGAGCUCCAAACUGUAUUGGAAGUGUUUAUGCAGGCCACAGUGUUUGUUUUUAAGGGAAUAUUCACAGUAGGCCAAUAUUAUUUUAGAUGUACUGUUUUUUGUGGUGCACACUAAGAAGCUUUCUGUCUAGUCACUCUGUUAUAUCUAUUGUAAAGCAGGUCUCACUACUUCAAUCUCUGUUUUUCAAUGGUUUGAGAAGUUUCACUUCACUGUGUUUUCAUUUCAUCCUGUCUUGCAGUCGUGUAUACUUGGAAGUAGACCCACGUCAUCCACAGCUCAUCCAGCAGUGGGUAGAGGAAAGUGUUGAAGAGUUAGACUACUUGCACACGCAUCGUGACAUCACUGACAGGCCUCGUUUCUGCAUCCUUCAAAAAAAGGAGUGCAACACAGAUCAGGACCAGCAUUGAGAGACUGUGUAAGAUAUGGAUCCUGUUUCACUGGCUUCAGACCAGCCUGCUACAGCCUCAACACCCACCAUCCAUCUGCCAUGUACUGUACAUACUACUGAGCUCAAAUAAUGUAGAAAUUCACAAACACGCACAUAUACAUAUCGUAGAUGGGCUUCAUUUAUACCUGAGGACGUUGUAGGUGCUAAUGUGUGUUUGUGUGGCAAUAAAGGAGGGUGAUCGUGACCGAG